rnacentral:rRNA from 1 species
CUUUCUCGAGUGUUACGCUUCGGCCUCAAACCGAAUUAGCUAGAUCUCACUGUGGUUUGUGCGGUGAUUAGCGGGUAGCUUUAUAAAACCGUAGUGAGGGGUGAUAAAUGAGUCGAUAGCUAUUAUACCUGUUUUAGGGACUAUUAUUUCAGUGCAGGAUGCCACCGAAGAGGAUGGAAUCCAAACUAUAUUCUUACUUGGCAGUAAUAAUCCGAGGGUUAGGGUUACCCCCGGCUAGAAUUAAUGUUAAAAUUUUUUUGUUUUUGGGAGAAUUGGUGUUAGUGUCCCUAUAUAUGGUACUUUUUGUAUUUAAGUAUGAGUUAAUUAGUAAUUAUAUUAAUCACAAUUUAUCUCUGCGCUAGUCCGACUGUUUAUUAAAAACAUUUCCGCGCGUUUGGGUUGCGCGGUAAAACCUGCCCUGUGAUUAUUUUAACGGCCGCAGUAUAUUGACUGUGCGAAGGUAGCAUAAUUAAUUGCCCCAUAAUUGGGGGCUUGUUUGAAUGGUUUCACGCGAUUAGUGUGUAAAAUUGCGAUUUUAGUUGAAUUUAAUUUGACGAGUACAGAAUCUGUCAAGAUCAAUAAGACGGAAAGACCCCGGGAUCUUUGAUUUUUGUCUGGGGCGGAUUUUGUUGGUUCAACAUGUUUAUGACCCGAAGUUUAAAGGUUUAAGUUACCCCGGGGAUAACAGUGUUAUAGUCUAUUAGAGUUCUUAUCGAGUAGGCUGAUUGCUACCUCGAUGUUGACUUGGGUGUUAUUAAAGGCGUAGUAGUUUUUAAUAGAGGUCUGUUCGACCUAAUUUUCCCCUCAUGAGUUGAGUUAAG